CCCAUUCAUCAUGAGUGUCAAAAGUUAGCAAGCAUUAAACUAAAUAUAUGAAAGCCAUCUUCAAAUAGUCCGACCUUCACAAUCCAGGGAAAGAAUAUUUCAAGUUAAGGAAAAGGCAGCCUUGCCCACAUAGAAGAGAAAGUGUGCCCAGCCCAGCAAUCGCCUCCGCUGGCGCAGUGGCUUUCCCAAGCAGAGGCCGCUCCUCCUGGACUUGGACAGCUGCUGGCAGGAGAUCCGCACAGCCCUUCCCUCUGAAUGGUCUGGACUUGGGACAAUUGGCUGGAAUCGUGCUGAUUUGCCGAGCAUCUCCUUUCUUCUGUAUUACGCAGGCGUGGCCAAAUGUAGCCACUGCUCAAAGUGUGGAGAAAUCUUCCUGGCUCCCAUUAAACAGAGGGAGCAACACUCAGAGAUUCAGCAAUGAAGCCUCCAUUAUCUGGACUGCUCAGAACUCUCACCAUGAUUUCUCAUUCCUUACCUAUAAAGAUUAUACUGCCAAUCAGGAAGUUUUCUGGGUCUAUCUCCUCUGCUACGAAGUAUAGGUGGUAUCAAUGUAACCUUUCCUAACAAUGUUGUAGGAAGAAAUCAUUAUUUAAAAUAAUUAUAAAAAUAUGCUCAAUACCAAUUGUUAUUAGGAAUGGCAAAUUAAAACAACAAAGUACCAGGUACUCCCAUUCACUUCUGGUGGAAAUACAAAAUGGUACCACCACUUUGGAAGACAGUUUGAUGGUUUCUUACAAAAUUAAACAUAUCCUUACCAUAUCAUCCAGGCAUUCUGCUCCCUGGUAUUUAUUUAAAGGAGUUGAAAAUUUACAUGCACACAAAAACCUGUUCAUGGAUGUUCAUAGCAGCUUUAUCGAUAAUUGUCAAAACUUGUAACCAAUCAAGAUGUCCCUUAGUAGGUGAAUAGAUAAACUGUGGUAUUACCCAUAUGUAUUCAUUUACUCAGUUGUGUCUGACUCUUUGAGACCCCAUGGACUAUAUAGCCCCUCAGGCUCCUCUGUCUAUGAAAUUUUCCAGGCAGGAAUACUGGAGCGGGUUGCCAUUUCCUUCUCUGAUUACAGUACAAUGGGAUAUUAUUCAAUGCUAAAAAGAAAUGAGCUACCAAGCCAUGAGAAGACAUGGAGAAAACUUAAGGGCAUAAUAUUGAAUGAAAGAAGCUAAUCUGAAAAGGCUGUGUAUUGUGUGAUUCCAACUAUAUGACAUUCUGGAAAAGACAGUAUUAUGGAGGAAGUAAAAAGAUCAGUGGCUGCCAAGGGCUUCAGAGGAGGGAAUAAGAGAUUAAUAGGUGGAGCACAGGGGAUUUUUAAGGUAGUGAAACUAUUUUGUAUGAUACUGUAACGAUGAAUAUAUAUCAUUAUACAUUUGUCAAAAGCCAUACAAUGUAACUAAUGCAUAACUAAAGAGUCAUCCAUAAUAAACUGCAAUUGUUGCUAA